rnacentral:rRNA from 1 species
GAUGAACGCUGGCGGCGUGCCUAAUACAUGCAAGUCGAACGCUGGAGAUCUAGCUUGCUAGAUCGAAGGAGUGGCGAACGGGUGAGUAAUACAUAAGCAACCUACCCACGAAGACUGGGAUAAUCUCUGGAAACGGGGACUAAUACCGGAUAGGUAAUCGGAAGGCAUCUUCUGGUUAUUAAAGGUUAAAAACACUGGUGGAUGGGCUUAUGGCGCAUUAGUUAGUUGGUGAGGUAACGGCCCACCAAGACGAUGAUGCGUAGCCGGCCUGAGAGGGUGAACGGCCACAUUGGGACUGAGACACGGCCCAGACUCCUACGGGAGGCAGCAGUAGGGAAUUUUCGGCAAUGGGGGCAACCCUGACCGAGCAACGCCGCGUGAGUGAAGACGGCCUUCGGGUUGUAAAGCUCUGUUGUAAGGGAAGAACGGUAGAUAGAGAAUAUCUAAGUGACGGUACCUUACCAGAAAGCUACGGCUAACUACGUG